rnacentral:tRNA from 1 species
GGGGCCGUAGCCUAGCCAGGAAUGGCGACCGGAAUUAUUCCGGCCAGAGUCCGGCUCCAGGACGUUCGUGAAGAUACCGGAAGGUCGUGGGUUCAAAUCCCACCGGCCCCACCA